UGCAUGUGUAAGUUUAAAGACCAAGUAGGAUGAAACUGCGGACGGCUCAUUAUAACAGUAAUAGUCUCUUUGGUUAGUAGGUACAAGGAUAACUAUGUGAAUGAUAAAGCUAAUACUUGAGACGAUCCGGGGAGUAUCUUUACUUAACGGCCGCGGGACGCGAGCAUGCGGAGUAAUGACAUUCCUUUGUGAAAAAGGUUGCCACGACAAUUGAGGAAAGCGACGCUUUUAACAAGUAACCAAUGGGAAUUUCUGAUCUAUCAAUUUGUUGGUAGUAUCGAGGACUACCAAGAUUAUAACGGAUAACGAGGAAUUGCUGUUCGACAUCGGAGAGGGAGCUUUACAGAUCGCUACCACUUGUAUGGAAGGCAGCAGGCGCGUUUAUUACCCACUUUCGACUUGAAGAGGUAGUGACGACAAAUAACUCUUGGCGCUCUUCGGGGCGACUUGAAGAAAUGAUUAAGAAGUAAAUUCUCUUAAGAAAUCAAUUGGAGGGCAGGUCUGGUGCCAGCAGCCGCGGUAAUUCCAGCUCC
rnacentral:rRNA from 1 species